rnacentral:rRNA from 1 species
CCUUUUAAUUGGAGGCCUGCAUGAAUGGCUUGACGAGCGCCCUGCUGUCUCUCUUCCCAUGAACUUUUAAAUUAACUUUCGCGUGCAAAGGCGCGAAUGGCUGAGUUAGACGAAAAGACCCUAUGCAUCUUUACUGAGAGAGAAGAAAGUUCUUUAGCUUGGUUUAGCUGGGGCAGCUGAGGAAAAGGCAAAAUUUCCUUAAUAUAAAUCAUACUGGUGGGUUUAGAUCCAGGCUCUUUAGCGGGCUUGACAAGUAGAAAAGUUACGCUAGGGAUAACAGCGUUAUCCUUCUGUGGAGGUCUUAUCUGCAGGAGGGAUUGCGACCUCGAUGUUGAAUUAGGGAUAUACCAGAAAGGCGCAGAAGCUUUUAUUGUGGGUCUGUUCCACC